rnacentral:lncRNA from 1 species
GUUUUUUGAUAACUGUCCCAUCGAAAUCGUGUCUUCUUGCAAACGAGUCCAUCUAUCGACUCAUGCACAUCAGCUCAUACUCCAUAUCAAAUAUUUUUUUUCAAAUUGUACUUUCAAAGGAAUGAUUUGCUACGGAGUUGGUAUCAGAAUUCCUGCUUACAAAAGGCCUGAUGUGGAGAGAAGAGCUUGCAAGGAAAAGGCAAGAAAGUGUAAAAAAAAAAAAAAAAAAAAAGGAAAGAAAUCAUGCCCCUCUCCAAGUCAGAGGAUAAUAAAUUGUGUAAAUAUAGUUCUAAUGCUGUUAGGCUGAAAGUUGAACUUAAUAUAUAAUUACUGAAAUAGACGAUUACAUUUAUAUCGUUGAUAUAAAUAAACAUGUUUAGAGUGAAUCCUCAUGAAGUAAUCAUUGUGCUUUUGCAGUUGACACUCCCAGAAACUGUCAACAGAGGGCCACAGGCCUCCACUGCGCGACCUUCUUUCCUGAGUCUGCAUCAAGUCAGAGUGGCUCUUCCUUUUUUGGCCAAAUUCCGACCAUCCAGACAUCUAACAUCUUGUCCAAGCAAAACAGAGUUGACACUACCAAAACUCACCAUAGAAAGCCCUGUAGAAAAAUCACAGACCUCCUAUGUGCAUCCUACCUGUCCUUCUGUCCCAGGACCGGAUCCAUCCACAGUGGCUCGUCCUCUGUAUAAAUUCCCGCCAUCCAGACCGCGCACCUUAAACCCAAGCAAUUUGAAGAGGUCUCUCAGAUCUGAUGUAUCUACUUCUUAAAACACUUGCAUGUCUCACUAUUAGUGUUACAUUUGAUUUCACCUGAGUCUCAAAGGUUGUGGAUCUCUGAAAACGAUGGUGAUCAAAAUAAAUAAAUAAAAAUCUUUACAGCAUUUAAUACCUGUUUAUUAUUUCUGUCAGUACUCAGGUAAGGACAUUGAGCCAUUUGAUGGCCCUGGAUACCACAGAUUGUGAGCAAGAAUAUGAUGCAUAAUAAACAAUGCAGAAAAAAUUUCUUUGUACCUGUACAUUCAAUUCGUUCAUUCAUGUCAUCAAGAGGCAAUGCAUGAUGGAAAAAUGAACAAUUUGCAUGUGGAAACUUUAGCCACUAGGUGCCUCUAU